rnacentral:rRNA from 1 species
GUCAAGUCAUCAUGGCCCUUACGUCCAGGGCUACACACGUGCUACAAUGGCCGGUACAGAGCGUCGCGAGCCCGCGAGGGUGAGCCAACCGCCAAAAGCCGGUCUAAGUUCGGAUUGCAGUCUGCAACUCGACUGCAUGAAGCUGGAAUCGCUAGUAAUCGCGGAUCAGCUACGCCGCGGUGAAUACGUUCCCGGGCCUU